rnacentral:rRNA from 1 species
AGGAUUCGUCCAAUUGAAGCAGAGGACAGUGGCGGACGGGUGAGUAACGCGUGAGGAACCUGCCUUUCAGAGGGGGACAACAGUUGGAAACGACUGCUAAUACCGCAUGACACAUUGGGGUCGCAUGGCCCCGAUGUCAAAGAUUUAUCGCUGAAAUAUGGCCUCGCGUCUGAUUAGCUAGUUGGUGAGGUAACGGCCCACCAAGGCGACGAUCAGUAGCCGGACUAAGAGGUUGAACGGCCACAUUGGGACUGAGAUACGGCCCAGACCCC